rnacentral:lncRNA from 1 species
CUAAUGUCUCACUGAGUGUGAACUAUCUAAUCACACCACAUUUAAAAAUAAGCUGAUUCAAAGCCUCUGACUUUGAAGUAUACAUCUCUUUGAAAAGAGGAUAAAUAUAUCAAAAUGUUGGCUCUUUUGCAGAAAUAACUUUGAGCCAAAAGAACUUCAUCCCAAUUACUUGAAUGCAGCCUACAUUGAUGAUUCCCUCAAGGCCAGUGAUAAGCCUAUGAAGCAACCCUCUGCUAAUAUCAGUUUUCAUUUGUUAGGGAUAGACGACAGAGUGACUUCACUGUUUUCCAUGGACUAA